CUCUAGAACAGAAGCUUUUGGAUCCCCAGACACAUGGCUUCAUAUGUCUGCCUGCUUCCUGAAUUCAGUAAUAGCAAGAAAACAUCUGCAGCAACAACCAAAUCAAAACGACACACCCAGCAAAGUAGAACACCUAUGCACUGGACAAGCUCUUCAUUCUGGUCGAGUGCCCAGGAAUGUUGGAAGCUAUAUCUAUUAAGUACCACCAACAUGACUGCCUAAACCUUAAGUUGAACAUGGAAUCACAUCAACAGACAAGUUUCUGUAGCAAGGUGAUACCUCAGGAGGCCUCAAUCUUACACAAAGACCUCAGGCCACUAAAAAAAAAGAUGAGAACAGAAGAAAUAUUCUUCCCCAGUGAUGGAGAAGUGUUCAUCGAUUCCAAGACUAACAAGGUGGAGUGGCUAACACCUACAGUCCUUGCACUCAGGAGGCUGAGACAGUAGGAUUGAUGCAAAUUUCAGGCCAAUUUGUGUUACAUGUUGUAGACUACGGAUGGAUAUGCAUUCAUUUCACAAAGGCAAAAGAAUCAUUUAUUCUGUGGAACACGAGCAUUUCAUCUGCUAUCUGGGCCUGAAUUGCAAAAUAAGCUGAUAUGACUGAUGGAUAAAAAAGGGAUCAUUUUAAGAACUAAAACCACUAAGAAUAUUCUGAAAUGGUAAUCAAAGGCAUUCGAUGUAAAUCUGUGAAAUGUAA